rnacentral:rRNA from 1 species
GGUGAAAAAGCUCGUAGUUGGAUUUCUGUUGAGGAUGACCGGUCCGCUCUUUGAGCGCGUAUCUGGUUCAGCCUUGGCAUCCUCUUGGGGAACGCUACUGUGCUUGAUUGCAUGGGGCGGUAUUCAAGACUUUUACUUUGAGGAAAUUAGAGUGUUCACUGCAAGCGUUAGCAAUUGAAUACAUUAGCAUGGAAUAAUAAUAUAGGACCUUGGUACUAUUUUGUUGGUUUCUAGAACUAAGGUAAUGAUUAAUAGGGACAAUUGGGGGCAUUCGUAUUAACGCGUCAGAGGUGGAAUUCUUAGAUUGCGUUACGACGAACUACUGCGAAAGCAUUUGCCAAGGAUGUAUUCAUUGAUCAAGAACGAAAGUAUGGGGAUCGAAGACGCUUAGAUACCGUCGUAGUCUAUACCAUAAACUAUGCCAACUAGAGAUUGGAGGUCGUUCUCUUUAUGACUCCUUCAGCACCUUAUGAGAAAUCAAAGUCUUUGGGUUCCGGGGGGAGUAUGGUCGCAAGGCUGAAACUUAAAGGAAUUGACGGAAGGGCACCACCAGGAGUGGAGCCUGCGGCUUAAUUUGACUCAACACGGGAAAAACUUACCAGGUCCAGACAUAGUAAGGAUUGACAGAUUGAUAGCUCUUUCUUGAUUCUAUGGGUGGUGGUGCAUGGCCGU